AGAGCACUUGGUGGUGGCAUGAGCUGAAAUGAAAUGGUGGAACGUCACCUAUGUGACCUCAGCCAGGCCUGUGGCCUGUGGCUGACUCUGGGGCGGCACCGUGCAGGCAGGUGCGGCACACUCAAAGAUGAGCUGUUAUUAUCAAAGGGUGUGAAGUUUCCAGACAACCACUGACUUGACGAAUCCUCUUGGGCACGAGAGCGCGUGCUGCAUCUGAGAUGCUGGCUGGGGAGCCCAGGCAGUCGAGGGGAGAGGAGCGCUCACUGUCUUACUGGCAACAAGCUGUUUGGAGAACAACCUGUUUUUACUCUCCUUUUGCAAGCAAAACACUCCUACUAAGCAAUAGCGUUUAUGGCAGCAUUUAGCUGACACAGAAGCACAUCUGAAAGUGGAGAGAGAGACACAUUUCCCCAUUGCUGGCCGAGUCCCACCACUUUGCUCAGCUAUGCACACCUGACAUCUCGUUUCAUUUUCAUACAAAAUCUGGAGAUAAUUAUU
rnacentral:sRNA from 1 species